GGGGUAGAUGAGAGUGGGGAUUUGGAUCUGCCUGCCAGGCCGUCCUGGGCGCUGCAGGAAGCAACAUGACUUAGGUAACUGCCCAGAGGUGCACCAGACAUGAUGCAGCAGCCGCGAGUGGAGACAGAUACCAUCGGGGCUGGCGAGGGGCCACAGCAGGCAGUGCCCUGGUCAGCCUGGGUCACGAGGCAUGGCUGGGUGCGCUGGUGGGUGAGCCACAUGCCCCCGAGCUGGAUCCAGUGGUGGAGCACCUCGAACUGGCGGCAACCGCUGCAGCGCCUGC
rnacentral:lncRNA from 1 species